AAAACCCUUUUAAUUUUCGUUUUGCUCUCAGUGAGAUGUGAUUGCAGACAGCGCGGCCGGGCAGUGGCAGAACCGGCCAGUGGCGACCUGCCUCCGCUCUGCUGGCUCCGCCGGAGCGGCCGUGCCACGGGGAUUGGACUUGGGAGCAGCUGCUGCAGGGACCCUCCCGUGCAGGAACGCGGCAGGAGAGCGAGGAAGCACCAGCGAGGUUUAGCUGGUGGAUCAUAUUGUGAAAUCUGCAGCCAUGAAAGGCCCUCCAUUUACUGCACCCUUCAAAACGAAAUGCUAGCAUGGGAGGCUAAGCUGGUACGUUGCCUUUGAGAGGCUCUGGUUGAAUUUAAUUAGCUUUUAGAUUUCAU
rnacentral:lncRNA from 12 species